AGUGAACGCUGGCGGUAGGCCUAACACAUGCAAGUCGAACGGCAGCACAGGAGAGCUUGCUCUCUGGGUGGCGAGUGGCGGACGGGUGAGGAAUACAUCGGAAUCUACUCUGUCGUGGGGGAUAACGUAGGGAAACUUACGCUAAUACCGCAUACGACCUACGGGUGAAAGCAGGGGAUCUUCGGACCUUGCGCGAUUGAAUGAGCCGAUGUCGGAUUAGCUAGUUGGCGGGGUAAAGGCCCACCAAGGCGACGAUCCGUAGCUGGUCUGAGAGGAUGAUCAGCCAACCUGGAACUGAGACACGGUCCAGACUCCUACGGGAGGCAGCAGUGGGGAAUAUUGGACAAUGGGCGCAAGCCUGAUACAGCCAUACCGCGUGGGUGAAGGAGGCCUUCGGGUUGUAAAGCCCUUUUGUUGGGAAAGAAAUCCAGCCGGCUAAUACCUGGUUGGGAUGACGGUACCCAAAGAAUAAGCACCGGCUAACUUCGUGCCAGCAGCCGCCGUAAUAC
rnacentral:rRNA from 1 species